rnacentral:rRNA from 1 species
UACGAAGGGUGCAAGCGUUACUCGGAUUCACUGGGCGUAAAGGGUGCGUAGGCGGCGCGGUAAGUCGGGUGUGAAAUCUCGGAGCUUAACUCCGAAACUGCAUUCGAUACUGCCGUGCUUGAGGACUGGAGAGGAGACUGGAAUUUACGGUGUAGCGGUGAAAUGCGUAGAUAUCGUAAGGAAGACCAGUGGCGAAGGCGGGUCUCUGGACAGUUCCUGACGCUGAGGCACGAAGGUCAGGGGAGCAAACGGG